UACGAAGGGUGCAAACGUUGCUCGGAAUUAUUGGGCGUAAAGAGCUCGUAGGCGGUGUGUCGCGUCGGCCGUGAAAACCUGCAGCUUAACUGUGGGCUUGCGGUCGAUACGGGCAUCACUGGAGUUCGGCAGGGGAGACUGGAAUUCCUGGUGUAGCGGUGAAAUGCGCAGAUAUCAGGAGGAACACCGUGGCGGAAGGCGGGUCUCUGGGCCGAUACUGACGCUGAGGAGCGAAAGCGUGGGGAGCGAACAGG
rnacentral:rRNA from 1 species